AGUGAACGCUGGCGGCAGGCCUAACACAUGCAAGUCGAGCGGCAGCGGGUCCCCGCGAGGGGAUGCCGGCGAGCGGCGGACGGGUGAGGAACACAUCGGAAUCUGCCUGGGUUGUGGGGGAUAACGUAGGGAAACUUACGCUAAUACCGCAUGCGACCCUGAGUCGACGGACUGGGGGUGAAAGUGAGGGACCUUCGGGCCUCACGCGACCAGAUGAGCCGAUGUCGGAUUAGCUAGUUGGCGGGGUAACGGCCCGCCAAGGCGACGAUCCGUAGCUGGUCUGAGAGGAUGAUCAGCCACACUGGGACUGAGACAC
rnacentral:rRNA from 1 species